rnacentral:rRNA from 1 species
UACGUAGGGUCCAAGCGUUGUCCGGAUUUAUUGGGCGUAAAGAGCUCGUAGGCGGCUCGGUAAGUCGGGUGUGAAAACUCGGGGCUCAACCCCGAGACGCCAUCCGAUACUGCUGUGGCUUGAGUCUGGUAGGGGAGAUCGGAAUUCCUGGUGUAGCGGUGAAAUGCGCAGAUAUCAGGAGGAACACCGGUGGCGAAGGCGGAUCUCUGGGCCAGUACUGACGCUGAGGAGCGAAAGCGUGGGUAGCAAACAGG